rnacentral:rRNA from 1 species
AUUGAACGCUGGCGGCAGGCUUAACACAUGCAAGUCGAGCGAGCGGCGGACGGGUGAUUAAUGUCUUGGAAACUGCCUGAUGGAGGGGGAUAACUACUGGAAACGGUAGCUAAUACCGCAUACCAUCAGAUGUGCCCAGAUGGGAUUAGCUAGUAGGUGGGGUAAUGGCUCACCUAGGCGACGAUCCCUAGCUGGUCUGAGAGGAUGACCAGCGACACUGGAACUGAGACACGGUCAAGAGUCCUACGGGGGGCAGCGGUGGGGAAUAUUGCACAAUGGGCGAAAGCCUGAGGAAGCCAUGCCGCGUGGGGGAAGAAGGCCUUCGGGUUGUAAAGCACUUUCAGCGAGGAGGCGUUACUCGCAGAAGAAGCACCGGCUAACUCCGUGCCAGCAGCCGCGGUAAUAC